GACGAACGCUGGCGGCGUGCUUAACACAUGCAAGUCGAACGAAGUGGCGAACGGGUGAGUAACGCGUAAUCAACCUGCCCUUCAGAGGGGGACAACAGUUGGAAACGACUGCUAAUACCGCAUACUGAAGGAGGGGAUUGCGUCGGGUUAGCUAGUUGGAGGGGUAAAGGCCCACCAAGGCGAAGAUCAGGAGCCGGUCUGAGAAGAUGGACGGCCACAUUGGGACUGAGACACGGCUCAGACUCCUACGGGAGGCAGCAGUGGGGAAUGUUUCGAAAUGGAAGAAAGUCUGGCGGAGCAAAGCCGCGUGAGUGAUGACGGCCUUCGGGUUGUAAAGCUCUGUUAGUCGGGGCGCGGUACCGAACUAGAAAGCCACGGCUAACUACGUGCCAGCAGCCGCGGUAAUAC
rnacentral:rRNA from 1 species